AGAAAACACUAUAAAGUUGUCUUAUAGAUAUUUCAUCUGAAUUUUAUGAACGUCUGUAAUCAAUUUCCAAGGCUUCAUUGUACCCUUCAACUUUAGUUACUCAACCUAUUAAGAAAGUCAUCUCAUUGUAGGCUGACUUGAAGGAACAGUGGGGACUCUUCUAAUGUGGAUAAGAAAAAGAAAAAGGAGCCACCUCAGGACAGGAAAGUGUUCUGAGUAAACAGCUGGAGCCUAAUGGUCUGCCUCUUGGCCAUUGUUCUCCAGUGGCGUCUGCUUUCUGCAACAUGAAAAAGGAAGUCGUGAUAGUUUCCUACCUGACAGUAUUUGUAAGUCCUGCACGACAGCACACGUUUCACUUAAGAAUGUUCUGGAUUGCAGAUGAGGUAUCUAGAUUAUUUUAACAACCUCUAUCUCCUCUAAGGCUCAUCUCCUUCUGCAUUUUUGGGUAGAUUUGUCUUCCUAUUUUUUUUCACUGAUGAUGUAAAGGGCUGUCUAUACAACCCCUGGUCCUAAAAGACUCCCAUGGAGUUAUCUCAUCUGAAAUGCAUGAAAUGCUUUAUAAAAGCUAUUUUCCUUUCAUUUCUGUCCAUAGUAAAAAAAAGUGUGACCACAUGCCAUUAUUAUGUAAAUUAGUAUUUUAGGAAACUAAUGUUUUUCAAAUGAUCAAGAUUUUCUUCCCAUUUCGCAACUCAAGGUCCAAAAAUUAAAGUUGACAUAUCGCUUUUCACUUUACAAAGCACUUGUAACUUAUAUUGGCAGCCAAAAGCAAGUCUAGAGAAACAAUCACCUGUCAAUCAGUUCAUCUAAAGCAGAAGAACAAAAAGGUGGCAGAAAUAAAUCAUCAGUGCUUCUUCAAGAGUUGGAAACUGUGAGUAUCUAAAAAUACUUUAAUUACUUAAAAUAUACAUUAUUGGCUAU